UACGUAGGACCCAAGCGUUAUCCGGAGUGACUGGGCGUAAAGAGUUGCGUAGGCGGCUCGUUAAGUGAGUAGUGAAAUCGUGUGGCUCAACCAUACGGCUAUUACUCAAACUGGCGAGCUCGAGAAUGGUAGAGGUAGCUGGAAUUUCUAGUGUAGGAGUGAAAUCCGUAGAUAUUAGAAGGAACACCAAUGGCGUAGGCAGGCUACUGGACCAUUUCUGACGCUGAGGCACGAAAGCGUGGGGAGCGAACCGG
rnacentral:rRNA from 1 species